GAUGAACGCUGGCGGCGUGCCUAAUACAUGCAAGUCGAGCGAACAGACGAGGAGCUUGCUCCUCUGACGUUAGCGGCGGACGGGUGAGUAACACGUGGAUAACCUACCUAUAAGACUGGGAUAACUUCGGGAAACCGGAGCUAAUACCGGAUAAUAUAUUGAACCGCAUGGUUCAAUAGUGAAAGACGGUCUUGCUGUCACUUAUAGAUGGAUCCGCGCUGCAUUAGCUAGUUGGUAAGGUAACGGCUUACCAAGGCAACGAUGCAUAGCCGACCUGAGAGGGUGAUCGGCCACACUGGAACUGAGACACGGUCCAGACUCCUACGGGAGGCAGCAGUAGGGAAUCUUCGGCAAUGGGCGAAAGCCUGACGGAGCAACGCCGCGUGAGUGAUGAAGGUCUUCGGAUCGUAAAACUCUGUUAUUAGGGAAGAACAUAUGUGUAAGUAACUGUGCACAUCUUGACGGUACCUAAUCAGAAAGCCACGGCUAACUACGUG
rnacentral:rRNA from 1 species